CGGCAGCGAUGGUUGUUCAGGUCUUCGAUGGCCAGUAGCCGAGUUCAGUGACGCGCUGGGCAGUUUUGACUACCCGCUGAAGGGCUUUCCGGUUUGAGGAUGUGCAGCUGUCAUAGCAGACUGUGAUGCAGCAGAAAACGCAGGACAGGCCUACCUGAAGAUGGAGUCGAUGUGUCUCGGACGUCAUGUCUCCUGUCAGAUGUGUAAGCUGAGAGACAGGAAUGGCAUGGCCGGUGAAGCCCCAGUGAGCAGGAGGGGUCAUCCUUCAGCUCAAAGACAGGCUGAGAGACAGCCACAUGGCACACAUCUCCAAAUGACAGCCUGUCACUGGCAGGAGAUCCACCAUACGGCCCUGUCACCUCUCACCUGACUGAACUCGGCCCACUGUAUUCUCGCACUGAGGGGAAACUGCGUCACUGUCAAACUAAUGGUGGUUAAAGGUGCUGCCAUCCCCAACGCAUUCACCUCACCAUAGAUCUCUUCAAAACAGAUUUGUGAGUCUAUCCGAGACAAAUAACCGGAGUUGGAGAAGGUGAGCCAUGCUGUUUUGACACACUG